GGUGGUGUAGUUCAGUGGUAGAGCACCUGCCUAGCAUGCCCGAGGCCCUGGGUUCCAUCCCUAACACCGCCA
rnacentral:tRNA from 1 species